rnacentral:lncRNA from 1 species
UUCAGUGAGAAGUAAGUGUUGGAGAAUAAAUUGGAUUUUUAUUUAGUUCGAAGAUAAAACAUCUUUUUUCAAUGUACUCAUCCACGCCUUUGUAUUUUUAUGACACACAUACACACAGUACAAUCGCACUUCUCUGUCUCUCGCUAGAAAUCAAGAACGAAACCAAUUGGUGGGGGUAAAUAUUAUUCGUUUUUCUAUGUGGAUCUGUUAAACUCACAAACUCACAGAUCUGUUAGAGUCACAAAAUCGGGGACCGGAGGCAAACGUAUCCUACAAAUCGACUUCAAUAUUUACUGAAAGUAUCGAUUUUCAAGAAGUAAAGAAUUGCGUAUCUGUAGUAGGUAGUUGGAGAGGACAGCAUGAAUCAAGAAUACAAAAAGGCAGCUACUAUCGGUAAAGCAACAAUGCAUCAAAGGAAACGACUUAAAAGAAGGUUAGGGUUUUAUAAUCUUUUAAUUUAGGUUUGAACUUUUGUUUUUCAAAUUUUGUGGAGGGAAAGAUAAUCUGUUUUAAAAUUUUGAAAGUAUUAAAUUUUUUUUUUGUUAAGUAUGCAUGAAUCUCGGUGAAAAUAAUAAAAAACGAAUGUUUUUUUUUUCGUAUUUUUUCUCCGCUGUGAUGACGUUCUCAUUGAAAUUUUGUGGAAGGAAAGAUACCCUCUGAUUGAAAGUGAUAUACCAAUUAUACCCUCCCUAAAUCUCUACGAUCUCUUCUUCAAUCCCCUCCCAGGGAAAUUGUUUGAUUUAAAGGAUCUAAAUUAUCAAGAAACCAAUUUCGUUCCAAAACUUAAAGUAAUUAUUAAGAAACCAACUGAUCAGGAAUUUGACCCAAAUGUAACUGUCGUGGAGAUUACCUUAAGGAAUUGGAAUUGAAACCUAUAUGAAGACUAUAAUGUGUUUUAAAUAGUUUUUUUUUGUGCAGUAAAGCAAUAUAUUAAUAAAAAGAGAAAACCAAACUCUGAUUGAUAAGUAUAUGCCAUUUAUAUAGUUGCAUUUGGGCAAAACAAUCAAAAUUAGAGCAAAACCCAGAAAUGUUGCCAACCAACACAUGGGAAAAACAGUCCAUCUAAGAGAAACACCAACUCAACGGAUUCUAUAUUUUUUUUGAUCAACAUAUCAUAAGGUUUAAUAGGUUAAAAACUUGAUGGUGAACAAUGGUUUGCAGUUUGCUUAAUAAGAUUGUUAUAUUUAGAAGUGAAGUGAAAGUUGAAUUUUAGAUAUCGUUUUUUAGUUUCUGAUCAUACUUUUCCAAUUUCAUGAUUGAAACAGAGCAUCUAAUUAGUUUUCAAAUUCAAAUUGCUGUUGAAUCAAGUAUAAUUACUGUUGGAACUAAAUAUUAACAUUGUUUUCAACAAAAUUUUAAAAAGUAGAAAUGUAACUUAUAUAUAAACAUAAAGUAAAUAACUAAAUAGUAGUAAAAGAAAGUGAAGUUUUUUUUUUUUUUUUUUUUUAAAUAUUCUUUGAUAAAAAUAUACCAUAUACGAAAGUGUUUUAAUUCAAAUAAAUUUAUAAAGGAUAAUCUAAAUUAAGUAAUAUUACCAUGACUUGAAUUUUGACAUUUUGCCUUUUAUGUAUCUAAAUUAGUUAUUCAUAUUUUGCCUUUUAUGUGUAUGAAUUAGUGAUUCAUAUUUCUUGCUUUUAUUAUGAACAACUAGUUUAUAACCCGUGGGAAUCACGGUUAUAAAAUUAAUUAAACUUUUAUUUUAAAUAAAUUGUUAAUUUAAGAGAUAUUUUUUAGCUAUGCGAAAUUAUAAUCGUUGAUUCACAUAAAUAUGUAAAAUUAAUUUUUAAUAUAUAUUAGACAUUUUUUAUUUGUGGAUUAAUGAAAACAUUAAUAUAAAAUUUAAAAUUUAAAAUAGAGAAUAAAUGCAUUGACAAAUAGCAUCAUAUUAAUGAGGAUGUCUAAAAAAUUUAAAAUGGAGAACUAAUAUAUUGACAAGUGGCAACACAUUAAUUAAGAGGUCUAAUAUGAUGACACAUGACAAAAGAACUACUUUUUUAUUAGUAUAGGGAUUUCUCACUUUUUUGUAAUUUUAAAUGAGUUUUAAUUGGUUCAUCUGUUUUAAUGUAAACUAUCAAUUUGAUACCAUUAGAAAUAUUUCAUAUGUCAAUGUUGCUUUAAACAUAUAACUAACUGCCAAAACACAGAUAUGAGUGUAAUUUUUCAAUAAUUUGGUAGAAAAAAGCAAUGUAGUCUAAAAUCAGCUGUACCAAAAACAAAAUAACAUAGCAAACGACAUCAUAGGACAGAAAAAAAAAACCCAAUGUACUUUCAAGAAACAAAUAUGAAAACCAUCAAAUCCCAAAAAAACCAUUCAAAACCAAAAAAAAUUAAAAAUCUAAACGGCUUAGAGUUUAUGAUGCGGAAACCAAAUUAACCACGAACUAAGAUUGUUUGUAAAAAGUAAAAUACAUUUACUUUUAUUUCUUGGGCACCAAAAGAGGCGUUGGUUGUUCAUUUGGUGGUGACAAUCGAGCAGUUUUAGAAGUAGACAAAUUCUUCAUUUCAUCAAGAUCCAUGCAUGUAGUAAGGUUUCUUUUCAAGUCAGUUGGUGUAGAAAUCAACUAUCUAGGACUUGUUGUAGUUUAUUUGUCCCUAGCACAUGGUGUUAAAUUUUCACCUGUGAAAAAGAAUCCUAUAAAAAAAAUUAGUUAGUUGUUAUACAUUAAAACGAAAUAUUUCAUAAUUAUAAUUUAAAAAGUACAACCUUGACAACUUUGGUCUCUUGGAAACCAAUAUCUGAAGAACCAAUCUGGAAUCAACCAGAAUUACCAGGCUGCAUCAUAAGAACGAAACAAAAUGCUAUUGAGUCAGAUAUAGUUGGGUCAAUGUGGUAAAAAAUAAAUCUAAGUUUUGAAAAAAAAUAUAUGGAAUAAGAUUCUUUUCUUCCAGUUCAUCAAUUAGUUAUGCAUUCUGAGUUAAUCUUGUUAUCCCAUAAAUAUUAUUUUUAUUAUUGACAUUGUAACUUGUGAUAUCAAUCUUAAUUGCCAACUUUUUGUCCACCACAACUUUCAACACCAUUGGAAACAAUUCCAACCUGAUCCCAACUAAAAUAUAAAUAAAUAUUGUUAGAAAAUUUGUAUGUAAAAUAUAUAAUAUAUAACAUAAAUAAAAAAUUAACAACUAUAAAAUAAUACCUUCUUGUUUUUAUCAUACAACUCAUUAGCUGUGUAUUUGAACUUCUUUGCUUCUUGAUCAAAUAAGGUUAAAGUCAAGGUUGUUGUGUUGUCUUGAACCCGAAGUGGGAUUUUAAAUCUAAAUAAUGUAUAAAAUUAUAUUAUAUUACACGAAUAUGAUAAACAUAUAUUGUUAUUAUGUAAAUUAAAUAUGUAAUAUCUUGGAAUAACCGAAAUUUGGAUAUUUUUGCAUAUAGGAUUAACACAUUCAUAAGUAACGAUUUCGGCCACUUCAUGAGAACCAUCAACCUUAUCAGUAGAAGACUCUUUUUGUCUUGCUGACUUUUUGCAGUUACUACAAACAAGGUAAUACCAACGUAUGUUUUGACGUAUUCCCUUAACAGUACCAACACUAAUGACUGUUUUUUCCUGAAAAUUUAAAUAAUGUUCAGUGUUAAUAAAUGUUAGUUUGCAAAAAUGUAUGUUGGUUUUGUUAUAACAAUAUACUCUGUUUAUUUGUUACACUUUUAAAAUCUAAAAACAAAAGUGUAUUACUCACAACUUUAAAAAUAAUGUAAAGUACCUCCAAAUGUUCAAACAACUCAUCAAUGUUAGAAAACAAAUGAUUUUUCAGAAAGUCAUCGUGUUCUAUGUCUUGUUUUGAUGCGAUCAUCUUGAUUGCAAUUGAUGAAAGUUGUUGUCCAUUUUGAGAACCUAAUCUGUUCAUUUAUAACAAAGAAAUGAAUUAAAUUUAUUAUAGUAUGAAAAAAUAAAUAUAAAAAUACAAAGGAAAGUAUAAAUGAAAGUACUUGUUUUUGUAGGUUGCAAUUUCAUCGAUAUCAUUAUUUUUGAACAACCUACUAACAUCAAAGUAGCUGGAUGAAAAAUGAUGACUUACAAAUAUAGAAUUUAUUANNNNNNNNNNNNNNNNNNNNNNNNNNNNNNNNNNNNNNNUAUAUAUAUAUAUAUAUAUAUAUAUAAUUUUAGAAAAUGGUUGUUAAAAAUAAUUACAAACUAUUAAUAAACUUCACUCUGACAAACUGAACAAUAACAACAACUGGAUCAAGGCUGUUAUUGUUAGUAAGAAAAUCACACAUGUAGUCUGCAUUCUGACCCUAUAAAGUUACUUUAAGCUUAGUAUGCCUAAAACAAUAAACAAAUAUUGUAGAUAAUAUAAAAGAAAUUGUAUUAUAUUUUUUUGUAAUAAUGGUGAAUACCCUAUAUCUUGAAGACGCAAGAGCAUUUUGUGUUUUGAUUUAUCUUGUUCAGAGGUAUCUAUACACCCAUAUUAAAAAAUGUGUCCAAUAAUAUCUACAAAAUCAACAAAACUUAGGCUUAAGUUAAUAAAACUGAUCAAUUUGUAGUCCAAAGAAAGAAAGUAGGAUGUCAUAUCACAAAAGUUAAUAUUAAAUGAAUUAAGCAAAAGAGUUUGACUCCAAGAUGUUAUUCGAAACGAUCGUAUUAAAGUCAACAAAAUCAAAGCCGUGUGCAGGUCCAGAAAAGUCCUCUUGAGCUUUAAGAGCUUGACUCCAAGAUGUUAUUCGAAACGAUCGUAGUAAAGUCCUCUUGAGCUUUAAGAGCUUUAUUAAGCCAUGCAUGCGCAUAAAGAUAGCAUUUUUACGUGAUUACCCAGCUCAAAGAAGUCAGAUCUACAUUUUGGGAUCAAUGUCUUAGCCGAAUAAGAAGGAAAUUGAGUUUGGGUUGAAUGGAGGAGUACACUAGGCGUACAAGCCUGUACGUGCAAUGUACAAGCCCUUAAGCCAAUACGCUUAGAAUAUAAGAUGAGUACGCCCCACAUACUCAACAUGACAGGAUUUCGGUGUUUGGGCUUCGGAUUGGGCCAUCUUUUGUGCAAAGUUGUUUUGGGCCUUGUUGGGCCAUCAAGUUUUGGUCUGAUAUUUAUUUGAGGAGGCCCAUUAUGGGAUUUGGACCCAAUUUGGAAAAUUGGGCCAUGAUUUGGGCCUUGGGUGGCUAAUUAGGAUUGGGCCUUUGGAUUGUCAGAUUGGGCCUUCGCCUUGGGGCAAGUUAUGGAGAGGGUAAAAAGGUCUUUUACCCUAGUUUGGACACUUAGUGUGGUUCGGAUCCGAUUAUUGAUGGAUGACUAAUUUGUGAUUGUUAGCGCGAGGAUUCUUGUAGGCCAGCCGCCAAAGAUUCUUUCUGUGAGAUUCGGCAGUGCGAGGUGAGAUUCCUCGCUGGGUUUAGCGGGUCGAAGGCACCAAUGUCGACCCAUGGUUUAUAUGUUAGGAUGCUAGAUGUCUCCAUGACUCUUUCACGUGAUAUGUCAUGGUAUGCCAGGUGUGGCCUGAUCAGUAUACUAUAUGCAAGUUAUCAAUAUGUGUUUUAUGCUACCGGACAAGGCCUGACCGUAUGGUAUGCUAUUGUCAUUGUUAUUAUCACAUGUGUUAGUAUGAUUAGAUGUUUAUAUGAUUAUAUGUAUCCGACGAGGCUCAAUAUCAGCUGGGGCCUGGUGAUUGACAGAUCAAUAAACCGUGCGGGGCCCGAAGCCAAGUGGGACUCGAUGUCGGCUGGGGCCCAAUAUGUAGUUUAGUAUGUUUGGUAUGUGGUAUCUUAGGGAACUCACGAAGCUUUGUGCUUACGGUUUUCAAUUUAUGUUUCAGGUACUUCGGUUUUCUGUUGAAAGAGUUAGGUAUGAUUGGAGAGCACACACCACAUGUUUCCGCAUUUUGUGAUUUACUCUGAUAACGAUGAUAUAAUAAUUCUUUAAUUACCUUGGUUCAUGAAAACGAGAUGAUGUACUAUUUUAGUAAUUUUAAAAAUGAAAUGGUUUUUGAGUCUUAUUUUUGGGAUGUUAGACUAUAGGGGGUAGGGGUGAGUGAGGGUUUUGAGAGGAUAUGAGAGUAAAUUAGAGACAAAAUGAGCCGCAAAUAAGUUCUACAUAUAGGCUGGGAAAAGUAGGUUACGCCGCACAUAUGGUCCGUGCGUUCCUAUUCACGAGAUCAUGGAUUCUUAUUUAAAUUGUUUUGUCUAACAAUCGAACGAUCUAAAUUUCAGUUUAUGUGGCACACACUACUGUAUUGAAACUUAUAAAAAAUCAUAAUUUUCUCAUACAUAGUCAGAUUUAGACGUUGUUUAUACUCACGAGUUCGCUUUUAUGUUUACUACGACUUUCAUUUAGAUUAUUUUACCAAAAUAAUUGUUUAUCAAAAACAUCUAUUUAUCGCCACGACAAAUAAUUAUCUUAUUCAAAGAUUUCAAUUAUAAUAAUUAUUAUAAUUAUUUUGUAAUCGGCUAGCCCUAUCUUAGGACAUUACACAUUCUUACACUAAUAAAAAACAUUGAUAGUUAUACCCUCAUUACAAUUAGAAAAUACCUAUUAAGGAGACAUUUUAGUUUCUUUUUUUUUUCAAAAAAAAUCUCAACAACAUGUUGAAGAAUCAUCUCUCAAAGUUGAUUUAUUGUGAUUAGGCCAAUUAUUUCCCUUUUUUCUUUGCGUAUUAUUUACACCACCAAGUUUUCUUCUGUUGAAAUUUAUACCCCUCUUUUUAAUAUUUAAUCUUUUUUCUUCUUUGAUCAUCCUUUACACCAUUAGCUUAUUAUUUUUGAGGUUAUAAACACCUUCAAAAAAAAAAAAAAAGCGAUCAUAGAUAAGAUUGCAAAACCACCUUUAAUAAUAAAAUUUGGAUUUCUUUUAUCAAAGCCAAAAAAUAACCGAAAUUAGAUGAUUACAUAAUUAACCACUUAAAAAAAUACAACUUCAAAUUAAUUCCUUUCAAAAACAAUAACAUGUUGUCCCACUAUAAUAUUUACACUAAUGUACAUAUAAUAUUCAAACUAUGUACUCGCCUAUUCUCACCUUUGGUCACAAGUAAUUUAAAGUUCUAUAGGUUUUAGUUGUAACUGUUAAAAGGUUAGUAUUUUCAAAUUUGGAUUUUUGUUUGUUUGUAUGCCAAUUUUGUAUGCAAUUCACAAAAAGAAUGUAUGUAAAAUAGGCUGAAUUUGGAAACAAGCAUGUAAUUUGGAGACAUAUCCAUAUCACUUCUGGUAACAUACACGUUCAGUUAUCGUGUUUUAUAAUAAAUAAUAUUGUGAAAUAUUAUAUGAAUUUGAGUAUUGAGUUCUAACAGAUAGUUUUUAUUAGAACUGAAGUAUAACUAUGUAUACAAUCAUUCAAAAUGUAUUGGAAGUCUUAUGAGAUUCCAAUCAAAUGUCAGUUAUUGAAAUUAAUGAAAAUAUGAAGUUGGAAAUAUGUGAAAAUAAUGUUAAUGAAAGUUGUAAAGAAUCUCAUUAGAAACAUUUUGGCGAAAACCUCAUCGAAAUUCGAGUAAUAACGAGAAAGUUAUGACUUAUUGAAGUUUCGCGACAGAACCAGCACGACGUCGUAUGACGUAAAAAGUGAGUUUUCGAUAAACUACUUUUUAGCCCUUAUGAUCUAAAAAUUGUAGUAUUCGUUAAGCCGAGAAUUUUAAUAAAAAUAACGUCAAAGUCUGACUUUGUAUGAGGAAGUUAUGAUUUUUCUAAGUUUCGGUAUAGCAGUAGACAGCUAAAAACUCGAAAGAAAGAUCGAGUGAUUUUUAGCAGACACAACCUAAAUGAGAAUCGAAGGUCUCGUUAAUAGUAGUAUAAUGGUAAAAGACAGACAAAAACGGACGUCGGAUGAAAAAGUUAUGAAUUUUUAACGGACUUUUCGUGUCUCGACCCGUUAAAUAUAUAAUAUUAGAAAUAAAUCAAAAUUAGCCGACGGAGUUUAAACGAAAGUUGUAGAUCAUAAUCUCACCUACGCGUGGAUAUAAAGAACGUCAAAAACGGAACUCGUAUGCAAAAGAUAUGGAUUUUUGAAGUUCAAAGUACAAACUUCGAGACCUGACUGCAUUCACGACGUGAAUCAUAGGAAUUCACGACGUGAACAACCUGAAUGACACCAUUCGAGCCUAGAAGACAUACGACAAGCCUAGGGGGUGACUAGGAUCGAAGUCACGACGUGAACAUACAUGGUUCACGCCGUGAACCUCAAAAUUUCACCCUAUAAAUAGAAAACGAAGCAUUCGGGAUUUGUUUGCUAAUUCUAAUAUCUCUCACUCUCCAAACCUUCUUUAGCCCGCUUUUACCCNNNNNNNNNNNNNNGGAGCCCCAGUAUCAUCCCCGACACCCGAAACAAGUCCCGACGCUCCGAAGUUCUUGAGAAAAUCAUAUUUUCUUGCAGAAACUUUGCCCGUGUAAGCCCGAUUUUCAACUAAAAUCCCCGGUUUUAUCACAGAAAGUCAUAUUUUAGAGCCGAAGUGCUGCCCAAAUUAUCAUUUAUUCCUUUGGUUAUUUCACGGUGAGUUCAAUAUAUAGGAACAAUUUUAUGUUAUGUGUUAUAUGUGCUAUGUGCUUUUCCGUGUUAUUAUUACAUGCUAUUAUGGUAGCAAAGUUGUACCUUUGACCAUGUGAUGAGUGGAAGGACUUAGAUUCACAGUGGUAUUGGUAUGUAGCCUCUGGCCGUAUAGAGCAUGUCUCGUAAGAGAAUGACUUCUACCCCUAUGGCAUUGGUAGAAGGUUAGAUAAGGCUAAAAGCCUGAAAUCUACCAAAAUGUUUAAAUCAGAAAGUAUAUGUCUAUUGUGCCAUUUGGGCCAAAAUUUUAUUGAUGUAUAUCAAGUAUUGAAAUUGUUAUGUCUCAUUGAUUGUAUAUCUUUGAAUCAAAUCAUUGAUUGAUAUGGAAAGCUUGUCAAAUGAUUCACAAAUGCCUUUUUUGUUCCUUGUUCCUCUUUUCUUUUGCCGUAUUGAAGUAUAUAUAUGGCAUAACGUUAUAUUGUAUCUAUUAUUGAACUCACUAAGCAUCACCGCUUAUCCCUCUGAGUGCUUAACCAUUGCAGGUAAUAAGGAUCCAGUAUAGACAUAUACUAUUAAAAGAUUUUGAAUAGUUUAAAACUAUUACUUUUGUAUUUAGUACUCAUAUAUGUAUAAAAGUAUAGUAUCCUGGGUAGUUAUGUAAUAUAUAACAUUUUGUAAUAGUCAGUUUGUAUCCAUUCUUAUGUAAUUAAACUAUCAAUGUAAAAUAUUGUUUAUAAACAUGCAUGUAGCAUGUUUUGAAGUAGUUUGAAGUAGCUUGGAAUAAUAAUGUUUCAAUUAUGAAAGUGUGGGUCUCUCAAUCAUGGUAUCAAAGCAGUAGUUUAAGUGAACUAAAUUCCACGGAUUGGUAUUUAGACUUAAACCGCUAGAAGUUCAAUAUAUGAACGGAUUCAUUGUAAUUAUAUGGAUACAAAACUUAGGAAAGACUUAAGUAGAGUAUUAGGUAAUGAUAAACCCUAAUAUUCUAAAAUACAAUGUUACUCCAUGUUACAGAGCACUGACUGAAAAGGUGAGUAGCCAUACACCAUAGGUGGGUAGAGAUCCUCAACCUGAUGAUGUAAAUACUCAAGUAUCUCCUCGUCAGGGGCGACUAUUGGGUAAACUUACUGGUGUUAUUCGGAAAACUAUCGAAGAGCACAAAAAGAAUGAUGAUAAAGGAAAAGAGAAAUUCACCGGAGAAUCUUCAAAAGGAGACACGAGACAUCCUUCAUUCAAAACUUUCAAGAGUAGUGGUGAUACAGAGUUUUCUGUUGUCCUUAAUCCCAUAGUUGUUCUAACUUGGAUUCAAAACACAAAGAAAGUAUUUCAUAUUUCUCAUGUGGAUAAUGAAGACAAUGCUAGUUAUUCUUCUGCUAUGCUCGUCGGAGAAGCCUUGUUCUGAACGAAAGCAACAUAUGAAGCUCUCAACGGGUUUGACCAGGAGAAUUUUAAUGGGUUAUGACCAUUCUAACACCCCUAAGUGUACAUGUAACCUAGAAAACCUUGGAUCUAGGUUUGUCUAAAAUACAUGCAAAAUUUGAUUUCCAUGGUUCAUAAUCCUAUCUAGCAUACGCAGGGAACUUUUAACAUAAAAGAUGGCUAGAAUUACAUAACUUGUAGUUGAUUUGAUUCCUUGAAAACCUUGAGAGCCUAGCACCCCAAGUGUGAUGCCUUAAAUGUUUCACAGAACACCAAGUGCUUUGGAAUAACUUUGAGAGAAUGUAUAACACUUCAAAAUCAGCCUAGCCCUCUUCUUUUCUUAGUGUACCCGAUUUUAUAGGAUAUCAUGCUCUUUAUAUAGUGUGUCACAUCUAGGGUUACACCAUGUAAACCCUAAUGUGACAUGACUCUUCAUUUCCAUGACCCGUGAGUUAGUAACUCCCAUGGAGCAUCCAUGGAGCAUCCUAUGAGUUUUAACCCAACUUGAUAAUCCAUGGAGUAUUAGCCCACUAUAAAAGUUAUGGAUGAUUUACAUAAUCAACCCAUAUAUUUAAUUAGUCAUCUUUUGAUCACUUAAUUAAUUCUAGAUUAAUUCUUGACUAAUACUAAUUAAAUAAUAGUAUUAAUAUAUUAGAACUUAUAAUAUAUUAAUAAACCAUAAGUAUUAUUUCACUCAUUUUAGUUUAUCCAAAUGCAUGAUGCCAUGCAACCCAAAUGGACCAUGCCGGGUCGGGUCAAGUAUAUACCAGAUAUAGUUAUGGACUUAGAAACCUUAUCCAAAAAAUUUAUCCUAGGAAAUGUUCAAAACUCGCUUGCUAGGGAAGUAUUGUCCUUUGGACAUGAGGAGAAGAUUGGAGAAAGAAUUCAUUGAGCUUAAACAAGGAGGAAGACUAUGAUUGAUUAUGAAACUCAAUUCAAUCAAAAAGUACGGUUUGCUUCAAAGUAUAUUCCAAAUGAAGACGAUAAAAUUCAGUUAUUUUUUGAUGGACUACGCGAUGAAAUAUGUGAUUUCGUGGCUAAUCGGGAUGUUCUGUCAUUUGAAAACGCUGUUGAGUAUGCUCGAAAACGAGAGCAUGACUUAGAAAUACGCCGUGCCACUAUUUUUGUUCCGAAGCAUCCACGAAUUGAUCGAACUGCUCCUGUUCCCUCUAUUCCACCAGCUCAAUCUACUCGAACUGAACCUGGUAAACAAGUGCAAACUCAAAAUGCCCCUUGUGGCUGUGGAAGGUCGCAAUCUUUUUCUCUUCAAUCGUCAUCAUGUUGAAAUUGUGGAAAGAAUCAUCCGGGCGAAUGCAGAUUAGAAAAAGGAUCAGUGGUCUGUUAUGGAUGUGGAGAAGUAGGCCACAUGAUGUUUGUUUUUCCAAUGAAGAAUGUUACAUGCUUUGCUUGUGGUGUUGCUGGCCACAGAAAGCAUUUUUGCUCUACUCUUACAAGUCAAAUGACGGGAAGUCAAGCUUCUGUACAACAACUGGCGAGAAGUCAAGCUCUUGUUCAACAAUAAAAGGGUACUCCAACUAAUAAGGAGGAGGCGCCAAAAGUUAAGGGUUGUGCAUUCCAAACGACUUUUGUGCCAAAAUCAAAUGGUACUCCAAAUAAGGAGAAGUCAGAUUCUUUUGUGUCUCAAGAAUUUGUGCAUUCCUUUGAAAUUGCUUGCUAUGCACUCGCGCAACCAUUUCAUGUAGAUACUAUAGGAAGUAUAUUAUUACUUGCUAAUAAAGUCUAUAGGGAUUGUGUCAUAGAAAUUGAAGGCUAUAAUUUUCUUGCUAAUCUGAUUCCUAUCUCCUUGGCCAACCUUGAUAUUAUUCUCGGCAUGGAUUGGUUGUCAAAGAACCACACAGAACUCUUGUGCUUUGAAAAGAUAGUAUGUAUUCCCAUUGAAGGGGAGAAUCCUAUUUAUGUCUACGGUGAAGAAAGACUUAAAAUCGUAACAAUAAUCUCUUACGUAAAAGUUCGUAAAUUCAUAUCGAAGGGGUGUUCCUGAGAAAAUCAUAUUUUCUAGCCGAAACUUUGCCCGAGUAAGCCCAAUUUUCAACUAAAAUCGUUGGUUUUAUCACAGAAAGUCAUAUUUUGAGCCGAAGUGUUGCCCAACUUAUCAUUUAUUCCUUUGGUUAUUUCACGGUGAGUUCAAUAUAUAGGAACAAUUGUAUUUUAUGUCUUAUAUGUGCUAUGUGCUUUUCCGUGUUAUUAUUCCGUGCUAUUAUGUCUUAUAUGUGCUAUGUGCUUUUCCGUGUUAUUAUUCCGUGCUAUUAUGGUAGCAAAGUUGUACCUUUGACCAUGUGAUGAGUGGAAGGACUUAGAUUCACAGUGGUAUUGGUAUGUAGCCUCUGGCCGUGUAGAGCAUGUCUCGUAAGAGAAUGACUUCUACCCCUAUGGCAUUGGCAGAAGGUUAGAUAGGGCUAAAAGCCUGAAAUCAACCAAAAUGUUUAAAUCAGAAAGUGUAUGUCUAUUGUUCCAUUUGGGCCAAAACUUUACUGAUGUAUAUCAAGUAUUGAAGUUGUUAUGUCUCAUUGAUUGUAUAUCUUUGAAUCAAAUCAUUGAUUGAUAUGGAAAGCUUGUCACAUGAUUUACAAAUGCCUUUUUUGUUCCUUGUUCCUCUUUUCUUCUGCCAUAUUGAACUAUAUAUAUGGCAUAACGUUAUAUUGUAUCUAUUAUUGAACUGACUAAGCGUCACCGCUUAUCCCUCUCAGUGUUUAACUAUUGCAGGUAAUAAGGAUCCAGUAUAGACAUAUAUUGUUAAAAGAUUUUGAAUAGUUUAAAAUUGUUACUUUUGUAUUUAGUACUCAUGUAUGUAUAAAAGUAUAGUAUCCUGGGUAGUUAUGUAAUAUAUAACACUUUGUAAUAGUCGGUUUGUAUCCAGUCUUUUGUAAUUUAACUAUCAAUGUAAAAUAUUGUUUAUAAACAUGCAUGUAGCAUGUUUUGAAGUGAUUUGGAGUAACUUGGAAUAAUAAUGUUUCAAUUAUGAAAGUGUGGGUCUCUUACUUCUGUACCAUCAAUAUCUAAGAAAUUAAAAUGAUGGAGAUAAUGGUCAAUACAUGAAUCUUUCAGUAGAUGAAAAAAAAGUAUAUGUGGAAAAAUCUUCUCCUUUUGGGGCCCUGUUUUUUAGUGUAUGAUAUUGUUGUAGUUUACAUAAAACGAAUAUGCACUAACACACUCACAUACAUAAACACACAUGUACACACAUAUAAACACACAACCACACAUACAUCAACACACACACAUAAAUACAUAGAUAACAAUAAC